rnacentral:rRNA from 1 species
AAUCAACGCUGGCGGCGUGCCUAACACAUGCAAGUCGAGCGAGAAAGGGAGCAAUCCUCUGAGUACAGCGGCGCACGGGUGAGUAACACGUGGGUAAUCUGCCCUGGGGUGGGGAAUAACACCGGGAAACCGGUGCUAAUACCGCAUACGAUAACGAGGUCUGCGGAUUUCGUUAUGAAAGGAGCAAUUCGCUCUAGGAGGAGCCCGCGGCUGAUUAGCUAGUUGGUGAGGUAAUGGCUCACCAAGGCUACGAUCAGUAUCCGGUCUGAGAGGACGGUCGGACACACUGGAACUGAGACACGGUCCAGACUCCUACGGGAGGCAGCAGUGGGGAAUUUUGGCAAGUGGGGGAAACCCUGACCAAGCAACGCCGCGUGGGUGA